rnacentral:rRNA from 1 species
AUGAGUUGCUUCAAGUUAACAAGGAAGGUUUGCAAGAGCCUGGCCUCUUGCUUAGCGAAAUAUUGGUGGAGUAGUUCCCUCGAUCGCCGAUAUUUGCACUGGAAGGCAUGGGACUCUCUAUCUAAGCCGAAAGCGCAGGGCGGGAUGGGUUUUCAGGAUCUUGAGAUGUUCAAUACAGCUCUCCUCAGGAAACACGGAUGGAGGCUGUUGACAAACCCAGAAUCCCUUUGCGCUCGAGUUCUUAAAGGAAGAUACUACCCCACGAGUGAUUUUAUGCAAGCCACAGCUCCUCGAUAUUCCUCUUCAACUUGGCGCGCUAUAAUCACUGGGAGGGAU